rnacentral:rRNA from 1 species
GACGUAGGGCGCGAGCGUUGUCCGGAUUUAUUGGGCGUAAAGAGCUCGUAGGCGGCUUGUUGCGUCAGCUGUGAAAACCCGCAGCUCAACUGUGGGCUUGCAGCUGAUACGGGCAGGCUUGAGUUCGGUAGGGGAGACUGGAAUUCCUGGUGUAGCGGUGAAAUGCGCAGAUAUCAGGAGGAACACCGGUGGCGAAGGCGGCAUCCUGGACCAAUUCUGACGCUGAGGAGCGAAAGCCAGGGGAGCAAACGGG